AAACCGAAGAGCAAAGAAGCAGUGGCUUCAAAGAAGACGGCGUAGGGCAAACAGAGAGCAAGUGUGAAGGUAUGGAUGCCGACAUACGUAGGCAUGGCCCAUACCCCCAAUCGAUCAGACCAUUGGCUGAACACCUUGAGAGCCGCUUCUUUGUCAAUUUCCCAUCCGUACCGCUUCCCCAAUUCUCUCAGAAUCGCCACCGCCGCCACUACGGCGGCUAAUUUGGACCACCG
rnacentral:misc_RNA from 1 species